ACCUUUACACUGCGGGAAACCGCGAUAAGGGGACCCCGAGUGCCAGCACCUAGUGCUGGCUGUCCAGCUGUCUAAAUAACAGUUGUUAGCAAGGGCCGGGCAAGACCGGUGCCAGCCGCCGCGGUAACACCGGCGGCCCGAGUGGUAGCCGCUAUUAUUGGGUUUAAAGGGCCCGUAGCCGGCCUAUUAAGUCUCUUGGGAAAUCUGGCGGCUUAAUCGUCAGGCGGCCAAGAGAUACUGGUAGGCUUGGGACCGGGAGAGGUGGGAGGUACUCCAGGGGUAGGGGUGAAAUCUCGUAAUCCUUGGGGGACCACCGAUGGCGAAGGCAUCCCACCAGAACGGGUCCGACGGUGAGGGACGAAAGCUGGGGGCACGAACCGGAUUAGAUACCCGGGUAGUCCCAGCUGUAAACGAUGCUCGCUAGGUGUCAGGUGCGGUGCGACCGCAUCUGGUGCCGCAGUGAAAACUUGAAGCGAGUCACCUGGGAAGUACGGUCGCAAGGCUGAAACUUAA
rnacentral:rRNA from 1 species